GGAACUAUUAAAGUCACAACGGCAAAAGAUGAGCAUGCGUCCCAUUAGCUAGUUGGUAAGGUAACGGCUUACCAAGGCUACGAUGGGUAGGGGUCCUGAGAGGGAGAUCCCCCACACUGGUACUGAGACACGGACCAGACUCCUACGGGAGGCAGCAGUGAGGAAUAUUGGACAAUGGGCGCAAGCCUGAUCCAGCCAUGCCGCGUGCAGGAUGACGGUCCUAUGGAUUGUAAACUGCUUUUAUACAGGAAGAAACACUCCGACGUGUCGGAGCUUGACGGUACUGUAAGAAUAAGGAUCGGCUAACUCCGUG
rnacentral:rRNA from 1 species